UACGUAGGGCGCAAGCGUUGUCCGGAAUUAUUGGGCGUAAAGAGCUCGUAGGCGGUUUGUCGCGUCUGCUGUGAAAUCCCGAGGCUCAACCUCGGGCUUGCAGUGGGUACGGGCAGACUAGAGUGCGGUAGGGGAGACUGGAAUUCCUGGUGUAGCGGUGGAAUGCGCAGAUAUCGGGAAGAACACCCGUGGCGAAGGCGGCUCUCUGGACGGUACUGACGGCUGAGACGCGA
rnacentral:rRNA from 1 species